GUAAUGACAUGACCACAGUGAGGAAACCAAGCAUGAUAACAAUACUGUUGUGAUACACAAGAACAGUUUAAUAACCAUAUCUAACUACAGUAGUGGCUAGUGACAAUAUUGAUUGCUCACUUUGCUCCCCGCGAUCAAAGAUGGUGCAUAGCCGUACAUGAAAUGAAACAAUGCUAGAGGAACCUCAGUGCAGAAGGUGUCGCCAAGAGGAUCAGAUUUAAGUUUUCCGAAGGAGACUAAUACAUAGAGCUAUGUACGAGCCUUCUUUUGCCCUACCGGCUUCAGCAAGAACAAGAAUAUCUACACUACAGGGGCAACUUCUCAAUAUUGCUCAGGUGAAUGGUGACAUGCUACGCAGAUUCACCAAUGGGGAUCAAGCAUCAAUGGCAUCAGCUCUGUGGGGGGAGCUUCGCAAUACUCUGGAGGAUGUACAUGGACAGACUGCAGAACGCAUAGAUAGCCUAAUGACAAACAGGGUUUCACGACCUUCAGGACCUCCGAUCCAAACAGUAGCUUGUGAAGUAUGCUGGAAUUUUGCCCCUUCGAUCGCUCUGGGACCUUGUGUCCACAUCCUCUGCCCUGAUUGUGUAUAGAUUAUACAGAUGUCCAUUUUGUAGGGAGUUUAAAAUUAAAAAGAUUACAAAUUUAUUUCUUUCUGGGUAAA